UACGGAGGGGACUAGCGUUGUUCGGAAUUACUGGGCGUAAAGCGCGCGUAGGCGGGCUGGUCAGUUGGGGGUGAAAUCCCGAGGCUUAACCUCGGAACUGCCUUCAGUACUGCCAGUCUUGAGUUCGGAAGAGGUGAGUGGAAUUCCCAGUGUAGAGGUGAAAUUCGUAGAUAUUGGGAAGAACACCAGUGGCGAAGGCGGCUCACUGGUCCGUAACUGACGCUGAGGUGCGAAAGCGUGGGGAGCAAACAGAUAAGAUACCCCCGUAGUC
rnacentral:rRNA from 1 species